rnacentral:rRNA from 1 species
UACGUAGGGGGCAAGCGUUGUCCGGAUUUAUUGGACGUAAAGAGCGUGUAGGCGGCCAGACAAGUCUGCUGUGAAAACUCGAGGCUCAACCUCGAGCUGUCGGUGGAAACUGUCUGGCUAGAGUCCGGAAGAGGAGAGUGGAAUUCCUGGUGUAGCGGUGAAAUGCGCAGAUAUCAGGAAGAACACCUAUGGCGAAGGCAGCUCUCUGGGACGGUACUGACGCUGAGACGCGAAAGCGUGGGGAGCGAACAGG